GAUGAACGCUGGCGGCGUGCUUAACACAUGCAAGUCGAACGAAGCACUUUAACCUGAUUCUUCGGAUGAAGGUUUUUGUGACUGAGUGGCGGACGGGUGAGUAACGCGUGGGUAACCUGCCUCAUACAGGGGGAUAACAGUUAGAAAUGACUGCUAAUACCGCAUAAGACCACAGAGCCGCAUGGCUCAGUGGGAAAAACUCCGGUGGUAUGAGAUGGACCCGCGUCUGAUUAGGUAGUUGGUGGGGUAACGGCCUACCAAGCCAACGAUCAGUAGCCGACCUGAGAGGGUGACCGGCCACAUUGGGACUGAGACACGGCCCAAACUCCUACGGGAGGCAGCAGUGGGGAAUAUUGCACAAUGGGGGAAACCCUGAUGCAGCGACGCCGCGUGAGCGAAGAAGUAUUUCGGUAUGUAAAGCUCUAUCAGCAGGGAAGAAA
rnacentral:rRNA from 1 species